AGCUGCGUGGUGAGCACAAAGCGAACUAUUCUUUCGCCUUUUACUAAAGAAUACCGUGUGCUCGCCACCUUAAGCAGCAUACGCCAAUUUUUGGAGGGUAUCCCACUCUUUUUAGGGUGGG
rnacentral:snRNA from 1 species